AACGAACGCUGGCGGCAAGCUUAACACAUGCAAGUCGAACGGAUUAUUCUUUAUAGCUUGCUAUAAAGAAUAGUUAGUGGCAGACGGGUGAGUAAUGCAUAGGAAUCUACCUAGUAGUAUGGGAUAGCCACUAGAAAUGGUGGGUAAUACUGUAUAAUCCCUGCGGGGGAAAGAUUUAUCGCUAUUAGAUGAGCCUAUGUUAGAUUAGCUAGUUGGUAGGGUAAAGGCCUACCAAGGCGAUGAUCUAUAGCUGGUCUGAGAGGAUGAUCAGCCACACUGGAACUGAGAUACGGUCCAGACUCCUACGGGAGGCAGCAGUGGGGAAUAUUGGACAAUGGGCGCAAGCCUGAUCCAGCUAUGCCGCGUGAGUGAGGAAGGCCUUAGGGUUGUAAAACUCUUUCAGUAGGGAAGAUAAUGACGGUACCUACAGAAGAAGUCC
rnacentral:rRNA from 1 species